rnacentral:rRNA from 1 species
AGCCGCCGCGGUAAUACCAGCUCUUCGAGUGGUGUGGAUGUUUAUUGGGCCUAAAGCAUCCGUAGCUGGCUAGGUAAGUCCCUUGUAAAAUCCACCGAAUUAAUCGUUGGAGUCGCGGGGGAUACUGCUUGGCUAGGGGACGAGAGAGGCAGACGGUAUUUUCGGGGUAGGGGUGAAAUCCUAUAAUCCCGGGAAGACCACCAGUGGCGAAGGCUGUCUGAUAGAACGCGCCCGACGGUGAGGGAUGAAAGCUGGGGGAGCGAACCGGAUUAGAUACCCGGGUAGUCCCAGCUGUAAACGAUGCAGACUAGGUGUUUGAACGGCCACGUGCCGUUCUAGUGCCGCAGGGAAGCUGUUAAGUCUGCCGCCUGGGGAGUACGAUCGCAAGAUUGAAACUUAAAGGAAUUGGCGGGGGAGCACCACAAGGGGUGAAGCCUUGCGGUUUAAUUGGAGUCAACGCCGGAAAUCUCACCGGGAGCGACAGCAGUGUGAAGGCCAGAUUAAAGGUCUUGCCAGACGAGCUGAGAAGUGGUGCAUGG